GGAGAGCAGAGUGGAGAGCAGAGUGGAGAGCAGAGUGGUGAGCAGAGUGGAGAGCAGAGUGGUGAGCAGAGUGGUGAGCAGAUGGAGAGCAGAGUGGUGAGCAGAGUGGAGAGCAGAGUGGAGAGCAGAGUGGAGAGCAGAGUGGUGAGCAGAGUGGUGAGCAGAGUGGAGAGCAGAGUGGAGAGCAGAGUGGAGAGCAGAGUGGAGAGCAGAGUGAUGAGCCUGAGACGACAACAGAGGUUUGUGUCUUUCUAGUUCCCCACUACGGAACAGGAAACAGAAGAAGAAGAAGAAGAAGGCAUUCCAGUCAUUUUAAAGAGGAACCGUCUGAAGCCGUCGACACUCUCGCAUACUUUGACAAAGACACUCCCACAAAAACCAGAGGGCCUAUAGG
ensembl:lncRNA